UUUAUAAAAGACGUAAGUUGGCCCCAGCAAAUUAGUAUCAUGUGCCUUUAGUCACUUUUUAUACUAAGGGCAUACAUGCUGUAUAGUUAUUAUUAUUACUAACAUGAUAUAACAUAUGGCCUUUAGUGUGUUUUAGUGGCAGUUUCAGGCUUUCACUGAACUUUACAAUAUGUAUUAUUACCCCAGAGAGUCCCUUCUAUUCCAAAGGGUCUGGCUAUGAAUGUCAGAAAAAGCGGGUACUCAGUUUAGUAAAGGGGUAUUACUGAUAAUGGCUUGUCCCCUAAAUACAGAACUUAAUCUCUGGUUUAUAUAAGCAGUUAAUAAAUUAAAUAUGAGCUUAAUUAGUCCAUUCAAGCAGAUCAGUUACAUAUGCAUAUGGUUACUUUCUCUAUGGGGUUGGAAAAUUGCUUGUCUUUCCUAGGUGGAUACUUUCCCAGUAGAAUAAUAAAAUAGACAUAAACAAUAAUAUUUAACAACGUUUGUUUUUAUAUUUUGUAGCUUUUAGAAAAAGAUCCAGAACAUCGCCUCGGUUCGGGUGAGGCUGGUGCAGAAAUGGUGAAACAGCACCCCUUCUUCAAAGUAGGUUUCUAUUCUAUUCCUUUCAAUUUACAAACAGAAAAGCACUAAUGAAUAUUGCCAUAGCCUCGUAAUGCAUUAUAUAAUUUCUUGUACCAGCAAUUCUAGUUUUUGGACCAGAUACUCAUCAUUAAAUAUUACCUUUUCAUUUAACUUUCAGGAUAUGGACUGGGACCAUCUAGUACACCGAAGAAUAAGGCCUCCAUUUGAACUGGACAACCAAGACCACCUGGAGAGCCAAGAGAACCCUGAAUGCCAGGCUCCGGCACUGACACCGCCUGCUGUUAGGAUUCCAUCAGAGCUGCAAGAGGCAUUCAGAGGAUUCUAAAUGAACAUCAAAUAAGUAGACGGAAUAGAUGGGGAGGGUGGAGGGCCAGUCCAUAUCUAUAGAAGAAGUCCAUUCAUGAAGAUCAGAGAUCUAGAAUAUCGAAUAUCCAGAAGAUUUAGAAUACCUAGAAAGAUCCAGAACAUCGCCUCGGUUCGGGUGAGGCUGGUGCCGAAAUGGUGAAAGAGCACCUCUUCUUCAGAGGUAUGGACUGGGACCAUCUAUUACACCAAAGAAUAAGGCCUCCAUUUGAACUGGACAACCAAGACCACCUGGAGAGUCGCAAGAACCCUGAAUGCCAAGCUCCAGCACUGACACCGCCUGCUGUAAGGAUUCCAUCAGAGCUGCAAGAGGCAUUCAGAGGAUUCUCAAUGAACAUCAAAUAAGUAGACGGAAUGGAUGGGGAGGGUGGAGGGCCAGUCCAUAUCCAUAUAAGAAGUCUAUUCAUAUAAAGUGACGAUCAGGUGAGCCACCUUAAUAAGUUCUGACUGAGUAGGCUAAUGUAGGAAUAGUCUGCUCAUGGUUUGUAACAUAUUCCAAAACUUCACCUGUAAACAGGCAAGUAAGAUCUAGUAGGUGAGAAACAAACUGUAUUUUUAUAGCAACAGCUGACACUGUAACAUCCUGCCUGGUUUUAAAACAGCACCCUGCAGGUUAUUAUGCAGUCUUUUAUAACUCUGCUCUAUUUGAACAGAUAACCAAGUGCUAGCUUCAGUUUGCCCCACAAUGCAUUCUGUAAUUACUGACUUCUUCUCUACAAUCGACAUUUGGCACCCUUGCCUGCCCCAUGGGAGUCUCUGGAUUCUCAUAUGGUAAGACCUGUUAGCACCCGAGCAGCUGAGAUUUAGGCCCAAAGCCAAAGGUGGCUGUUAUAGAAGAGCAGGCCAAGACUCCCUGUGGUUUGGGAUUCCCUUAAGUGACAAACAGGAAAGUAAAACCUGGCACCAAGUUAGGAAACAAACCAAUAGUUGGCACUACCUCACAUUGUUUGUAUUUGCUUUCUGGUAAGGUUGUAGUUGCCACCUUGGGAGAUCCAGAGAAGAAGAUAUUGAAGAUAUUAAAGAUGGUUACCAUGUUUAUCCACGCCAAGGUAUGAAAAGUAGGUUUAUUCCUAAACAGAAUGAAGGAUGUACCAUGGGGUUAUUUGUACAGGCAUUCUAUCCUAUGAAAAUCAUUUUGCCUCAAAUGGGCAUUAUGAAAGAGUACAGGGCACUGAAAGACUCAAAUAGUAAACAUGGGGCUCUUACUGUUGGCGGUUAAUGAACAUUCCUUAUGUUAGAUUUGGUUUUUGGACACCAUUUGUACCCCCACGUGAGUAACUGGUUAAUUUGCAGAAUUAAUUAUGAAGUCUAUAAUAAAAUCAUCUACAAUGCUGAAUGAUUCAUCUGACUGCUUAUUUAUUUAUAAUCAACACAUAAGUUUAGUUGCCCUUUAGAUGUAAAUCCUUCUGUGAUUCUGUUUUUCAGAUAUGAGACAGCGUGGCGACAGUCAAAGGAAAUCUUAUUCUGUAAUGAAGAUCAUGGAUCAUAUACUGAACAUUGUACCAAACACUCACUGGAGUCCGUGUGAAGAAAGAAGCCUGUACCCCACCUUCCUAGUGCCACCCACUUUUCCUACUCCAAUAGGCACUAUUUCAUAUAUAACUUGUUUGUUCUGCUCACAUUAUGUAUAUAAUUAUACAAAUAAAAAUAUUGCUUCUAAGAA